UGUAUAUCCAGCAACUGGAGAGGUGGUAUACCUGAAUUCAUUUGGAGAAGGAAUCUUCCAUGUUAGGAGGGUUGUACGGGGAUGGAGUACAUUCAUGAAAGAUGCAGGGGUAAACAAAGUGUGGACAGACAGGCAAAUAGCUCACCCCCGGCAGAAGGACUCCUCCUCAUGUGGACUUUUUGUCAUACAGUUUGCAUACCACAUCCUUUUCGAUGGAUGGACAAUGGACGAUAUAGCAGAUGCCCACAGUUUCCGAUUAGAUCUGGCCAAGAUACUACUCACUAAGUCAGAUGAUCUCAGUCUUCACUGCCCAGUGUGUAGGCAACAAUGUAACGAUGAAAAGAUCAAAUGCCACUGCCAGCCUCCAAGCACAUUUCAUGCUGAGUGCCUGAAUAAAAUGACAGGAGUCAUUUGCGAUUUCUGUACUUGGACAGGCC